GCGCGGUGGGCGCCGAGCAGCUGCCGCGGCUGGCCUGGAUACAGUGAGCACGGGGAGCCGAGGAGAGACCCCGUUUGUUCCUGCCGCACCCCGACAUUCACACCCGGCCCUGGUCAGCCACGGAGAUAAACCUCACCCUGCCUGAGACACUCCGCCAGGAGAGGACAGAGUCUGACUUCUCCGGUGGCCCCAGCAUCCAGCACAGAAGGGGUGACUAUCAAAAGUGCCAGAAACUGCUGAAUGAAUGGAAAACUGGUCCAGGCCUGAAACCAGCUGCAGCUAGAAUUAACUUCCUCAAACACUGAGCUCAUUCCUUCCUCCAACUGUCCUUUGCUGGGGACAACCCUUUCUCAGGGUCGCCUACCCUCAGCUGCCAAGUGCCCAGCCUCCCCCCUUGCUGCUCCCCUGCUCCUCAGUCAACCAACGGGUCCCCUAUCUAUUGGGCCACUGGACCCAUUGAAGUGUUUCCUUUGGCCUGCAGGGUGAUUUUUAAGCUUUUGAGCCAAAGGUGCCAAAAUUUACAAAUGGAGAGAUUGUAUGUAACAACCCAAGGAGGCAGGGACCUGGUCUGUCUGGCUGAGCAGUCUGUCCCUGGCA